rnacentral:sRNA from 1 species
AGCAGCCGCGGUAAUUCCAGCUCCAAUAGCGUAUAUUAAAGUUGUUGCAGUUAAAAAGCUCGUAGUUGAAUUUCGGGGUUAGCAGGUCGGUCGUGCCAUCGGUAUGAACUGGUCUCGCUGAUCCCUCCCUCUUGACGAACUGUGAUGCCAUUAAUUUGGUGUCGCAGGGAAUCAGGACUGUUACUUUGAAAAAUUAGAGUGUUUAAAGCAGGCUCACGCUUGAAUACAUUAGCAUGGAAUAAUGAAAUAGGACGUUUGAUCCUAUUUUGUUGGCUUCUAGGAUUGACGUAAUGAUUAAUAGGGAUAGUUGGGGGCAUUAGUAUUCAAUUGUCAGAGGUGAAAUUCUUGGAUUUAUUGAAGACUAACUACUGCGAAAGCAUUUGCCAAGGAUGUUUUCAUUAAUCAAGAACGAAAGUUAGGGGAUCGAAGACGAUCAGAUACCGUCGUAGUCUUAACCAUAAACUAUGCCGACU